rnacentral:hammerhead_ribozyme from 1 species
AUCCAACUGACGAGUCCCAGAUGGGACGAAACGCGCGUCCAGGAU